AUGGAACGCUAGCGGGAUGCUAACCCAUGCAAGUCGAACGGGCGGCGGACGGGUGAGUAAUGUAUCGGGACGUGCCCAGUAGCGGGGGAUAACUACUCGAAAGAGUGCUAUCCCGCAUACUAUUGGGGCGGCCGAGGUCGGAUUAGCUAGUUGGGGGGGUAAAGGCUCACCCAGGCGACGCGCCGUAGCUGGUUUGAGAGGACGACCAGCCACACUGGGACUGAGACACGGCCCAGCCUCCUACGGGAGGCAGCAGUGGGGAAUUUUGGACAAUGGGGGAAACCCUGAUCCAGCCAUCCAGCGUGUAUGAUGAAGGCUUCGGGUGGUAAAGCACUUUAAGUUGGGAGGCGUUACCAACAGAAUAAGCACCGGCUAACUACGUGCCAGCAGCCGCGGUAAUUC
rnacentral:rRNA from 1 species